rnacentral:lncRNA from 1 species
CAACUUUUAGAAUACUCGCUUUAGAAUACUGUAUAACAGCAAGCUUUAGAAUACUCGGUUGAAAUUUAAACACUGGCAAAAGAUCUUUUAAAAUGGAAACGGGGGAAUACAAAAUUACAUCAAUAACAUAUACUUAUAUUCACAGUACAUAACCAAAUAUCUCUUGCAGACUAGAGACCUUAUCAAUUCAAGUGAAUUCAUUGAAGUCCUCCAAUAUAUGAAAAGAGAGGGAAAACAAAGGAUGCUCAAACCUGCUCAAACAAAGGAUGCUCAAUCAGGGUUGCUUCUCUUUUAUUUCUUCUCACAGUUUACAUAAAUGAAAUAUAAAAAGACUUUAAGAUUUAAGUUCUCGAAUGAAGGCUUAACAAAGAAAUCUGAAAAUUGAUGAAUCAUUGCAAGAUCCAACAAAGAAACAAAGCAUCAAUUACAAGACACCACCAGGCAACGCAAGCACAAGAAAUCUUUAUGAUUAUAAAAAAAGGGUAAAUCUUAACCAUGAUUCCAAACUCGUAACUCAAAAUAUUUAGAGAAGUUUUCAUAUCUAACAUAGCGGCAGCGGAUGAGAAGUGGUUGAGGGGUCGUCGACCACCUCGUUACUAAGACAAAAACCAACUAAAUUUUAUUUUUACAGAAUCAAAAUCAAAUAAUUGCAGAAAAAUAGCUAAAUAAACAAAAAGAAUAAAAGCACCUUUGAAUCAGAGUUGUUAUGUGGCUGAGCACAUUGCAGAGAAUCUCUAGUAUAUGCUGCCGUAGCAGCAAGUGGUUGGCAUCGAUGAAGGAUGAUUUUGGGAAAGAGAGUGAGAAAUAAGGGCCAUGAGAAAUCUGAAGGGGGAUGAAGAGAUAGUGGGUAUAUAAGUGAUUGGCCGGCAUCGUUGGAAGAUUUCAUUGCCAGCGUCCUUGGAGGACUGAGUUGAAGGCAUCGGUGGUGUGGAAGACGGAGAGAGUGGAUAUGAGAGAAGUAAAUUGGGGGAAGUAACGGGUUAGGGAAAUUUUUUUAUUUUUAGUCUCCUAGAAUUAGC